rnacentral:rRNA from 1 species
GACGAACGCUGGCGGCGUGCUUAACACAUGCAAGUCGAGCGGUAAGGCCCUUUCGGGGGUACACGAGCGGCGAACGGGUGAGUAACACGUGGGUGACCUGCCCUCAGCCCUGGGAUAAGCCCGGGAAACUGGGUCUAAUACCGGAUAUGACUCCAUGACGCAUGUUGUGGGGUGGAAAGCCUUGUGCGGCUGAGGAUGGGCCCGCGGCCUAUCAGCUUGUUGGUGGGGUGAUGGCCUACCAAGGCGACGACGGGUAGCCGGCCUGAGAGGGCGACCGGCCACACUGGGACUGAGAUACGGCCCAGACUCCUACGGGAGGCAGCAGUGGGGAAGUCUUGCGCAAUGGGCGAAAGCCUGACGCAGCGACGCCGCGUGAGGGAUGACGGCCUCGGUUGU